CUAUAUAAUGAUGUUGUAUUUUACCGCCCCAGUCUGAAGAUUCAUGACUGAUUGGUACACACUCUGAUCCUCC
ensembl:snoRNA SNORD31 Small nucleolar RNA SNORD31